rnacentral:rRNA from 1 species
AUUGAACGCUGGCGGCAGGCCUAACACAUGCAAGUCGAACGGUAACAGGGAUCAGCUUGCUGAUUCGCUGACGAGUGGCGGACGGGUGAGUAAUGUCUGGGAAACUGCCUGAUGGAGGGGGAUAACUACUGGAAACGGUAGCUAAUACCGCAUAACGUCGCAAGGCCAAAGAGGGGGACCUUCGGGCCUCUUGCCAUCGGAUGUGCCCAGAUGGGAUUAGCUAGUAGGUGGGGUAACGGCUCACCUAGGCGACGAUCCCUAGCUGGUCUGAGAGGAUGACCAGCCACACUGGAACUGAGACACGGUCCAGACUCCUACGGGAGGCAGCAGUGGGGAAUAUUGCACAAUGGGCGCAAGCCUGAUGCAGCCAUGCCGCGUGUAUGAAGAAGGCCUUCGGGUUGUAAAGUACUUUCAGCGGGGAGGAAGGGAGUAAAGUUAAUACCUUUGCUCAUUGACGUUACCCGAAGAAGAAGCACCGGCUAACUCCGUG